rnacentral:rRNA from 1 species
UGGGGAAUUUUGGACAAUGGGGGCAACCCUGAUCCAGCCAUGCCGCGUGAGUGAAGAAGGCCUUCGGGUUGUAAAGCUCUUUCGGCCGGGAAGAAAUCGCGCCAGCUAAUACCUGGUGUGGAUGACGGUACCGGAAGAAGAAGCACCGGCUAACUACGUGCCAGCAGCCGCGGUAAUACGUAGGGUGCGAGCAUUAAUCGGAAUUACUGGGCGUAAAGGGUGCGCAGGCGGUUUUGCAAGUCAGAUGUGAAAGCCCCGGGCUUAACCUGGGAAUUGCGUUUGAAACUACAAGACUAGAGUGCAGCAGAGGGAGUGGAAUUCCAUGUGUAGCAGUGAAAUGCGUAGAGAUGUGGAAGAACACCGAUGGCGAAGGCAGCUCCCUGGGUUGACACGUGACGCUCA